rnacentral:lncRNA from 1 species
CACUGGGAGCACCAGGGACACCAGUACCAGAGCACUGGGAGCGACUGGGAACACCGGGGACACCAGUACCAGAGGACUGGGAGCACUGGGAGCACUGGGAUGUCCAGCCCCACGCCACCAGCAGCACUGGCCGGACCAGCCCCACGCCAGGACACAACUGGGGACACCGGGGACAAGGAGCCACGUCCAGCCACGUGCCACGCUGGUGACACCCGAGGUGGUGGCACCAGAGGUGGUGACACCCGAGGUGGUGACACCCAAGGUGGUGACACCCAAGGUGGUGGCACCCAAGGUGGUGACACCCAAGGUGGUGGCACCAGAGGUGGCCAUGCCACGCCAGAAGUGCCACAGCCUGGCACGAGGACGCUGUGGUGUCCCUCGCCACGCGGAGCUGGUGGCACUGGGGUGGCCGUGCUGCUGGAAGCCACGGGCCAGUUUGACAUGUGGAGGGACUACCUGGGGCUGGCGGCCCUGGUGGCCCUGCUGCUCCGUGAGCCUGCGGGCCUUGGGGACAGCUCGGUGACAAUGGGGGCUCUGGCUCCGUGGGAUGGGUCAGCUCCAUGUGCUGGGCCAGCUCCACAUGUGGGGUCAGCUCCACCUGCUGGGCUAGCUCCAAGCUCCGAGCCAGCUCCACGCACUGGGCUAGCUCCACACACUGAGCCAGCUCCAUGUGCUGGGCUAGCUCCAAGCUCUGAGCCAGCUCAACGCGCUGGGCUAGCUCCACGCACUGGGCUAGCUCCAAGCUCCGAGCCAGCUCCACGCACUGGGCUAGCUCCAUGCAGUGAGCCAGCUCCAUGCACUGGGCUAGCUCCACGCACUGGGCUAGCUCCAAGCUCCGAGCCAGCUCCACGCGCUGGGCUAGCUCCACGCACUGGGCUAGCUCCACCUGCUGGGCUAUCUCCACCUGCUGGGCUAGCUCCAUGCAGAGAGCCAGCUCCAUGCAGUGAGCUAGCUCCAGAUGUGGGACCAGUUCUGCAUGUGGAACCAGCUCCAGAUGUGGGACCAGCUUCAUACAUGGAACCAUCUCCACGUCCCAGAGCAGCUCCACCAGUGGGACCAUCUCUGUGCACUGACCCAGCUCCACCUACGGUUCCAUCUCCAUACAUGGAACCAUCUCCAUGUCCCAGACCAGCGGUUCCAUCUCCAUGCACUGAACCAUCUCCACAUCCCAGACCAGCUCCACCAGUGGGACCAUCUGCAUUCACUGACCCAGCUCCACGUCCCAGACCAGCUCCACCUACGGUUCCAUCUCCAUACGUGGAACCAUCUCCACGUCCCAGACCACCUCCCCACGCAGUCCCACCUCCAUUCACCGACCCAUCUCCACGUCCCAGCCCAGCUCCACCAGUGCGACCAUCUCGGAGCACUGACCCAGCUCCACCCGCGGUCCCACCUCCAUUCUCC